UGGAACAUUUUAAGUGUCACCCCAAAAUACUUUCUGUACCUGUUGGCCCCUAUCAAAACUGUAGUGAUGGGCUUAAUUAUUCAAGGUUUAUACUCAUAGGGAAAAACUCCAUGCACAUCUCUUCAAAAUUAUGUUGAUAGAGAAUUCCUGCUUAUUAGGACAAUUAUUCAACUUCUUUCUAACAAAGCUGUAUGUGAAGCCUUGUAUUUCUUUUUUAAAUGCUUCGACUUGUGAAGAUGGCAGUGUGUUAUUUAUAGUUUAGUUUAUUCAGAAAAAAAACUCAUCUGUGGCUGUUAUACUAUAACAAAAUAUGCACUUUUUUUCCAUUACAAUUUAAGAAGAGAGACUUAACAAAAUGUAACUGUGUUCCAGAUAAAAGAAUCCAUUGUUGGUGACAUCAGGCGAGAGAUUGUAAGUGGGCUGUUGGCAGCAGUUUCCUCUCCAAUGCGGUCCUUGGAUGGAAAAACUGAUGGGCGGAUUUAAAUGGUAAUCUGAAAUCCACUGAAAUCCAUUUAUUUUGGAAAACAUGCUAGAAGAAUGAAUGAAGCAGAAUUUCAAGUCAAGCUAAUUAUUCAGGAGAGAGAAUAUGCUGCUGAAAAAUGUACUCUACACACUCUGUGUAUUGUGUUCCCCCCUCCUAUGAGUAAUGGAAUAUGUGUGUGUGUGUGAGAGUUUUUUAAUUUGGGCACUUUGCUUAGCUUUGCCAAUAAGAGAACCAGGGAGGUUUCAUCUAAUAUUUAUUUCAAUGUACUGUGUUUCUAUUGUAUUUUGUUUUGUUUGUUGUUUUUGUUUUUUUAACUAAAACUUGAAGAUUUACUUUUCCAAUUUCAAAAUGACCUUCCCACUGCAAGAGGGAGUAUGAAUUGUUGCAAAGUAUGCAUUGCCAGGGGUGAAAUAGUGAAACAACUGUAUGUCUGGCUUUGACACUGACCUCCAUGAGGUAUAGACUGUGCAAUACAUGAAUCACUUUGAGAGCUUUACAACAAAUAUUUUUUCUUCUGCUGUGUAGUGCCACUUUAAGCUAAGCAUAUGGAACAUUUGCUGCAUUACUUUCAAAGCGGAAUUUGGUUUUGUAACUUGUUUAGUGGAUUACUUGCAUUUACCGAAAACUACUUUAUGUUCUUACACUGAAAGAUGUAUUUUCGAACACAAGAUUAUUUAAACAUUUUAUUCCGUUUCCCAUAGUUCAGUUCUUUUGUGUGCCAUUUUUUAACACUAUAAUUUUUAUUGAUUUAUUUCCCUGCUCUUUAAGACCUUGUCUUAAAUGUGAUUUAUAUUGAUCAUAAGUGUUGACUGGAAAAAAACCUGUUAAAAAUCUGGGAUUUUUCCCCUUCUGAUCUUCAGUGACACACACACUAUUUUUUCCUUGAUCACUGUUUGGAGCUAAACUAAAUGCUUGUUGGGAAUGUUCAAUCCAGGCCACUCAAUGGCACAAUUUUAUGGAAAUUGAGUUUAAACCUUGGUGGUUUUCAUAAUUUAGUGUAUUCUGCUGAGUUUCAGUUAGAGAAGAAUAUAACUGUAAAAUCUAAAACUGUACACACUUAAGUACACAAGGGCUGAUUUCUAAUUAUAUAAAAUAAAGUAUUUAUUUUGCAUACA